AUACUACUCCCUCCGUCCGGAAAUAUUUGUGGGAGAAAUGAAUGUAUCUAGAUGGAUUUUAGUUCUAAAUACAUCCAUUUUUAUCCAUUUCUUCGACAAGUAUUUCUGGGCGGAGGGAGUAGUUG
rfam:Triticum aestivum genome assembly, contig: Triticum_aestivum_CS42_TGACv1_scaffold_458753_5DS